UGCAAGUCGAGCGAACAGAUAAGGAGCUUGCUCCUUUGACGUUAGCGGCGGACGGGUGAGUAACACGUGGAUAACCUACCUAUAAGACUGGGAUAACUUCGGGAAACCGGAGCUAAUACCGGAUAACAUAUUGAACCGCAUGGUUCAAUAGUGAAAGGCGGCUUUGCUGUCACUUAUAGAUGGAUCCGCGCCGUAUUAGCUAGUUGGUAAGGUAACGGCUUACCAAGGCAACGAUACGUAGCCGACCUGAGAGGGUGAUCGGCCACACUGGAACUGAGACACGGUCCAGACUCCUACGGGAGGCAGCAGUAGGGAAUCUUCCGCAAUGGGCGAAAGCCUGACGGAGCAACGCCGCGUGAGUGAUGAAGGUCUUCGGAUCGUAAAACUCUGUUAUCAGGGAAGAACAAAUGUGUAAGUAACUGUGCACAUCUUGACGGUACCUGAUCAGAAAGCCACGGCUAACUACGUGCCAGCAGCCGCGGUAAUACGUAGGUGGCAAGCGUUAUCCGGAAUUAUUGGGCGUAAAGCGCGCGUAGGCGGUUUUUUAAGUCUGAUGUGAAAGCCCACGGCUCAACCGUGGAGGGUCAUUGGAAACUGGAAAACUUGAGUGCAGAAGAGGAAAGUGGAAUUCCAUGUGUAGCGGUGAAAUGCGCAGAGAUAUGGAGGAACACCAGUGGCGAAAGCGACUUUCUGGUCUGUAACUGACGCUGAUGUGCGAAAGCGUGGGGAUCAAACAGGAUUAGAUACCCUGGUAGUCCACGCCGUAAACGAUGAGUGCUAAGUGUUAGGGGGUUUCCGCCCCUUAGUGCUGCAGCUAACGCAUUAAGCACUCCGCCUGGGGAGUACGACCGCAAGGUUGAAACUCAAAGGAAUUGACGGGACCCGCACAAGC
rnacentral:rRNA from 1 species